AGAGGGAAGGGCCGGGGCGUCGCCCCCGACGCAGACGAGACCGCCGGCGGCCUUGCAGGGGCUUGCGGUGGCGCGGUGGACGAGGAACUACCGGAUCUCGACGGAUCCGGUGGGGAAUGGCGCGGGGGCGGCGAAUCAGGAAGGAAGGCGGCCGGAGCUUGGAGCACGACGGCUGGCCGGCGCGCCAUGGCGUCGGGUACCUGCGAGAGAAGAGAGAGACAAGUGGGAGAGAAAAGGGAGGACGGGAGGAAGGAGAUGGAAGGCCGGAGGGAGAAAGAAGAGAGCGGUGAGGUGCGGCAGCGGUCCUGCGGCUGCUGCUCGCUGGUGGCUCGCCGGCCAUCGGCGCUAGGUGGGGCUCGGGUGCGCGGAGGCGUCGGGGAUCGAGUGAGCUCUCCUCAAUCGCGGUUGGAGGCACUCGGGGUCGAGCAAGUGAGCGACGUUCCGUCGUCGCCUUGGUCGGCCUUCGUCCGUUCCCCUCGCGUGCCUUAUCCCCUCAGGUCACACGUAAGCUACAUCCCCUCUCACUUCCCCAUUAAUUUGCUACCUUUGAUUAGAUUUCUCUGGUUGAAAUUGGAGCCUCAUGUAGUUUAGUGUUGAUCUGAGCUACACACUAGCGAUUAUUUCUGCACAUGGUUGUAUUCAAGGGAGAUUUUGGAUGGAUGCGGCUGCUGCUGCUGCUGGAUGCAGUUGUUGGAAUUGUAAGGGAAUUCAGUGGAUAAUGUGUCAGAAAGUUAGACAAUUUAGCUAUGGAUAUUUUCAAUAUUUAGCAACCUGCUUUGGGGUUUCAGUGUUCUGCAGAUAAAUUUCUGAUGCCUUGCUCUUCUAGGAGUUGUGGUUUAUCUAUGCAAACAUGAACCUUAUAUAAGUAAUUGGUGUUCCAUUGAUGUGUCCAAAUGACCCUGAAAUAUAAAAUUGAAUUGUGUAAGUGAAUUGAUGAUGAUACAUGCUUCAGUUUCUGAAUAUUGGGAAGCAAUCCUCAUGACAUUUCCAUGUGAAUCUUUUGAAAUCCACUUUUGGGUGACUCAUUUUUUAUUAUAAUGAAUUUAAAUUCACAUUUCAAUUACUUAUGAACAAAGCUGGUACAUAUAUUGAAGGAGGCUCAACAUUGAUGGUUACACCCUGCCGAGAUUUGUGAGAACUGCCCACUUUUUCUUUUCUGGGUGUAGCAUCUGCAGGCCUACAUGCAAUCAUUAUUUUUGUUAAGCAACAGAAUGCUACAGUUAUCUACAGAGUUAUAGGUGAGGGGCGAUGAGAGUUGGUUUAUGUUGGUAUUCAACUUGGUUUGGUACAUCUAUAUAAAGCUCACAUGUAUUCCACUACAUUUGUCUUAAAAGUGUAUCCGUGUAGAUUUUCAGUUCAAAGGUUUGCAUUAAGUCUAUUUUCACUCCAUGCAGAUGAUACAUUUCUUAUCACCCAAUGCACUGUUUAGGGGAUCCUUCUAAUCUGGCAUGCUUUUUGGUCUGCCCUGCUUUAGGUAGUUCAUGUUGACUCCUUAAUUCUUCAGUGAUAAUGAGCUAUUCAUGGAUCUAGCAACUGACUGUAUUUGCUUUGUCCCGAGAUGAUGGAUACUUUUUUUAUGAGAUCAUGGAUACUUGAAUGCCCUUUCUUGACCACAUACGGUUUCUGAUUGUUUUCGUACGUUUAUGCCUCUUCUGAGCUUGUGGAACCCAUUUAUUUUCCCAAAGAUCACUUGUGCCUGCUAAGUCUUGGGAUCCAUUUUUUUGUUCCUAUGUGACCAAUCCGUAGAAGAAUGCAUGCUCCUGAGCCAUAGAAGAAAUCAGCAGGUGGACAAAGUUGAGGGCCCGAGGUAGCAAUAGUUCUUCAAAGGCACUGGGCAAUAAUUGAUUGGUCGAAGGUAGCAUUUUCUGUCGAACUUCAAUUGACAGGGAAGAAAUUCUUUCUAUAUGUGCCUUUGGUUUUCUUUCGCUUAGGGAGUUCGUACAGUUCUUUUUUCAGGGCAAGAGAUUCUUCAGCUAGAUAACAAAGAGCACUUUAAUUAAUUAGAUCAGAAGUUGCUUUUACCAUCGAGCUUCAGUUGACAGGGAAAAAAUUGUUUCUGUCUAUGCCUUUGGUUUUCUUUUACUUAGGGAGUUUGUAUAGUUUUUUUCAGGGGAAGAGAUUCUUCAGCUAGAUGAGAAAGAGCACUCUGAUUAAUUAGAUCAGAAGUUGCGUGUGAUGAUGAUUGCUCGUGCAGACUACAAUGGCACCAACCACCAGGCGAGGUCGUCAGUGAGGCGCCGUUGGUGGACAUGAGUAAAGCUUCUUGACCUAUACGAUUCAUGGUUUGGCAUAUUUGCUUCAUCGGAGUGCUUCAUGUACUUGGUCUGAGAUGAUUGAGAUCCUUAAUUUGCAUUGGUUUAUUUUGCCGCAUCUCCUGCAAUACAUUAGUGAAAAGCUUAGCAGUGCUGAUCUUCUAAACUUGAAGUUAAUUAUGACUUGCUUAAACUCAUAAUAAUUUUGUUUUGGAGAGUGCAGAAAUCAUUUUGAGGAAACAGUGAACAAAAAAGUUGGGGCAUCCAUUCCUGGGUAAUCAGCUGGGAGAAGCCCAGAAAAAUCUGACAGGAGUGGUGACAGUAGCAGCAGCAUGCCUGAUACAAGACCCCUGAAUAGUGAUUGGAGCAUUAAAGCCAUGGUGGUAUUCAUUUUUUGCAGCCGUUGGAUGAUGUAUCAUAAAACAGAAUUUCACUUCGGAUAGCUGCAUGUGUACAUAUGUGGUGGAGGAACUCAACAAUUUCCAGUAAAAGCAAACGUUUUUGCAGUCAAAGGUAACCUUUGCUACAUCUGUUAUUGAAUAUAUGUUGGGGAGGACAGUAGCAGUUUUCAGAUGUUUGUGUGUUAAAUCCGUUGUAAGCUUUCCAUCUGUGCAUUAUUCAUAAACUUAAUGGGCUUCAAUUUUAUGCUGCAUGAUGCAGAUAAAUUUAUUGGUUAUUUAAAAUAUCGACAGAUAUUUUCUAUAUCUGGAAGGAUGGGCCACAUUGAACUCACUAAUUCUUUUACAAGCGCACAUGAAUUGCUAAUACAGGCCGGUCAUGUUUUCCAACUUUUCCUUCUUCUCCUGAUGUUCCCCUGUACUACUUGCCAAGGAUCAAGUGCCUCUAAAGUUAUACAUGUGUACAUAUAUUGAAUGAUAUACUUUUUACUAGGGAUUUCUUUAUCGAGCGUUUAACAUGCUUUAGUUAGUUUGCAUGGCAUUUCCACUAUGCUUAGAACAACAUUGUGAAGGUACGUGUUAUUCUACCUCUUGGGCUGUAAUGCUCCAUUCAUUCAAUGUUUUAGGUUGUGCUUCUCGAUGAUCAGAUAUUUAUGGCAUGGUUGUUAUGCUCUGCUCAUGGUCGUGUGUAACGUAGGGUAUAGAUGAUGCUUCAUGGUGAUCAUGGUGCCAUGGUGGUGGUGUACAUGGCAUCGAUGGUACUUCAUGCAUGCAUGGUUGCUUUCUUUGCAACAGAUAUGCAGCGCUGCCUUUUCGCUUCUUCUCUGUUUUAUAUGUCUAAUUGUUCCAGGGGUCUAACAGCAGGCAGUAUAUUUCACGGGAUUUCUAUAUCAGUAGUUUUCUGCUCAAACUUUUUCAUGCACCUAUAAUUAUGCAUUGGCCUUCUGGAUAUAGUUGGAAUGCUACAUCCAUUUAUUAUAUCAUAUUGCCAUGAGUUAUAACCGUGUCUUCAUGUUUGUCCUAUUUUACUUACCUUCCUAUGUUUUCUUGAGAAACUUCAUGCCUGCGAAGCUUUGGUGACUUGAUGACAGGAGAAGUGGUCAGGAUUGAGCCAUCGGACAAGAGAUGACCGCCGUCGAUUGCCAACAAAUUUUUGUAUGCCGCAGUGAGCGGGAUGGGUUCAAUAUCUUCAGAUGCUCUGCACUGCACCGGCUAUAUUUGAUAUGAGUCCACAUGCAAAAUAAAGGCAUCACACGUUCUGGGUUGCUCAGCUAUGCUUUUUUUUCGUGAUUGGAUUAUAUGCUACUCGGUGUUGAAGGGUUUGUUCAUGUCAAAGUUAACAAAUCUUGUGAUGUUACCAGAGAUUGCCCAUUUACUCAUUCUGCAUGGGAUGGUCAGGGUUUGAUUAUUUUUGUCAGCAGACUUUCAUUCAGAAAAUAACCCAAUGGCGCUCGCCUGUUCUCUUUACUUAUGUAACUACACAAUAGUGCUUUAUUAAUUUUGUUGUGCAAAUAAUCAGUCGUUGUGUUUAUGAGAAAUGAUAA